AACGAACGCUGGCGGCAGGCCUAACACAUGCAAGUCGAGCGAAGCCUUCGGGCUUAGCGGCGGACGGGUUAGUAACGCGUGGGAACGUACCCUUUUCUACGGAAUAGUCUCGGGAAACUGAGGGUAAUACCGUAUACGCCCUUCGGGGGAAAGAUUUAUCGGAGAAGGAUCGGCCCGCGUUAGAUUAGAUAGUUGGUGGGGUAAUGGCCUACCAAGUCUACGAUCUAUAGCUGGUUUGAGAGGAUGAUCAGCAACACUGGGACUGAGACACGGCCCAGACUCCUACGGGAGGCAGCAGUGGGGAAUCUUAGACAAUGGGCGCAAGCCUGAUCUAGCCAUGCCGCGUGAGUGAAGAAGGCCCUAGGGUCGUAAAGCUCUUUCGCCUGUGAAGAUAAUGACUGUAGCAGGUAAAGAAACCCCGGCUAACUCCGUGCCAGCAGCCGCGGUAAUACGGAGGGGGUUAGCGUUGUUCGGAAUUACUGGGCGUAAAGCGCGCGUAGGCGGAUCAGCAAGUUAGGGGUGAAAUCCCGGGGCUCAACCCCGGAACUGCCCUUAAAACUGUUGGUCUUGAGUUCGAGAGAGGUGAGUGGAAUUCCGAGUGUAGAGGUGAAAUUCGUAGAUAUUCGGAGGAACACCAGUGGCGAAGGCGGCUCACUGGCUCGAUACUGACGCUGAGGUGCGAAAGUGUGGGGAGCAAACAGG
rnacentral:rRNA from 1 species